rnacentral:rRNA from 1 species
CCCUUAGAUGUUCUGGGCCGCACGCGCGCUACACUGACUGAGCCAGCGAGUUUAUAACCUUGACCGAAAGGCCUGGGUAAUCUUGUGAAACUCAGUCGUGCUGGGGAUAGAGCAUUGCAAUUAUUGCUCUUCAACGAGGAAUGCCUAGUAAGCGCAAGUCAUCAGCUUGCGUUGAUUACGUCCCUGCCCUUUGUACACACCGCCCGUCGCUACUACCGAUUGAAUGGCUUAGUGAGAUCUCCGGAUUGGCUUUGGGAAGCUGGCAACGGCUACCUAUUGCUGAGAAGCUGAUCAAACUUGGUCAUUUAGAGGAAGUAAAAGUCGUAACA